rnacentral:ncRNA from 2 species
AUUUAAUAGAGCCUGUCAGGUGUCAAUUGACUGAAAAGGGAAGCCGGUGAAAAUCCGGCGCGGUCCCGCCACUGUAAGUGGGAGGCGCUUCCUUAAGACCACUGGUCAGAAAGACCGGGAAGGAAGGAGGCGCAGUGAACACGAGCCAGGAGACCUGCCUGCCAGAGCGCUAAGCC